rnacentral:rRNA from 1 species
UACGUAGGGUGCGAGCGUUAAUCGGAAUUACUGGGCGUAAAGCGUGCGCAGGCGGUUCGUUGUGUCGGCGGUGAAAGCCCCGGGCUCAACCUGGGAAUGGCCGUUGAAACUGGCGAACUGGAGUGUGGCAGAGGGGGGUGGAAUUCCGCGUGUAGCAGUGAAAUGCGUAGAGAUCGGGAGGAACAUCUGUGGCGAAGGCGACUGCCUGGACCAGCACUGACACUGAGGCACGAAAGCGUGGGGAGCAAACAGG